rnacentral:rRNA from 1 species
UAAGCGGAGGAAAAGAAACUAACAAGGAUUCCCCUAGUAACGGCGAGUGAAGCGGGAAGAGCUCAAAUUUGAAAUCUGGUAGCCUUCGGUUGCCCGAGUUGUAAUCUAGAGAAGUGUUUUCCGUGCCGGCCCAUGUACAAGUCCCUUGGAACAGGGCGUCAUAGAGGGUGAGAAUCCCGUCCUUGACAUGGACCCCCGGUGCUUUGUGAUACACUUUCAACGAGUCGAGUUGUUUGGGAAUGCAGCUCAAAAUGGGUGGUGAAUUCCAUCUAAAGCUAAAUAUUGGCGAGAGACCGAUAGCGAACAAGUACCGUGAGGGAAAGAUGAAAAGCACUUUGGAAAGAGAGUUAAACAGUACGUGAAAUUGUUGAAAGGGAAACGAUUGAAGUCAGUCAUGCUCUUGGGACUUACCUCCCUUGAGUGGGGUCAACAUCAGUUUUGAUCGAUGGAUAAAGGCACGGGGAAGGUAGCACUCUCGGGUGAACUUAUAGCCUCGCGUCAUAUACAUUGAUUGGGACUGAGGAACGCAGCAUGCCUUAUGGCCGGGAUUCGUCCACGUACAUGCUUAGGAUGAAGACAUAAUGGCUUUAAACGACCCGUCUUGA